rnacentral:rRNA from 1 species
UGGGGAAUCUUGGACAAUGGGGGCAACCCUGAUCCCGCCAUGCCGCGUGAGCGACGAAGGCCUUAGGGUUGUAAAGCUCUUUCAGCUGGGAAGAUAAUGACGGUACCAGCAGAAGAAGCCCCGGCAAACUCCGUGGCAGCAGCCGCGGUAAUACGUAGGGGGCUAGCGUUGUUCGGAAUUACUGGGCGUAAAGCGCACGUAGGCGGAUCACUCAGUCAGGGGUGAAAUCCCGGGGCUCAACCCCGGAACUGCCUUUGAUACUGCUGGUCUUGAGGAUGAGAGAGGCGAGUGGAAUUCCGAGUGUAGAGGUGAAAUUCGUAGAUAUUCGGAGGAACACCAGUGGCGAAGGCGGCUCGCUGGCGCAUUUCUGACGCUGAGGUGCGAAAGCGUGGGGAGCAAACAGGAUUAGAUACCCCCGUAGUCC